rnacentral:rRNA from 1 species
UACGGAGGGUGCAAGCGUUAUCCGGAUUCACUGGGUUUAAAGGGUGCGUAGGUGGGCAGGUAAGUCAGUGGUGAAAUCCCCGGGCUUAACCCGGGAACUGCCAUUGAUACUAUCUGUCUUGAAUAUCCUGGAGGUGAGCGGAAUAUGUCAUGUAGCGGUGAAAUGCUUAGAUAUGACAUAGAACACCAAUUGCGAAGGCAGCUCACUACGGAUAUAUUGACACUGAGGCACGAAAGCGUGGGGAUCAAACAGG